GACGAACGCUGGCGGCGUGCUUAACACAUGCAAGUCACGGGGGCCCGCAAGGGCAACCGGCGAACGGGUGCGUAGCACGUGACCAACCUGCCCUCAUGUGGGGGAUAGCCGGGCUAACGCCCGGGUAAUACCGCAUACGGUCCCCUGGGGGAGUCCCUGGGGGCAGAAAGCUCCGGCGCACGGGGAGGGGGUCGCGGCCUAUCAGCUAGUUGGCGGGGUAACGGCCCACCAAGGCGACGACGGGUAGCUGGUCUGAGAGGAUGGCCAGCCACAUUGGGACUGAGAGACGGCCCAGACUCCUACGGGAGGCAGCAGUGGGGAAUCUUGCGCAAUGGCCGAAAGGCUGACGCAGCGACGCCGCGUGUGGGAGGACGCCUUUCGGGGUGUAAACCACUGUUGCCCGGGACGAACACGGCUAUUCGUAGCCGCUGACGGUACCGGGUGAGGAAGCACCGGCUAACUCCGUGCCAGCAGCCGCCGUAAUAC
rnacentral:rRNA from 1 species